rnacentral:rRNA from 1 species
UACAGAGGGUGCAAGCGUUGUUCGGAAUUAUUGGGCGUAAAGCGCGUGUAGGCGGCUUGGCAAGUCGGGUGUGAAAUCCCUCAGCUUAACUGAGGAAGUGCGCCCGAAACUGCCGAGCUUGAGUACCGGAGAGGGUGGCGGAAUUCCCCAAGUAGAGGUGAAAUUCGUAGAUAUUAGGAAGAACACCAGUGGCGAAGGCGGCUCACUGGCCCGGUACUGACGCUGAGGCGCGAAAGCGUGGGGAGCAAACAGG